AGAGUUUGGAUCCUGGCUCAGGAUGAACGCUGGCGGCGUGCCUAAUACAUGCAAGGCGAACAGAGUUCUCAGUAUGAGUGAUCCAGUGCUUGCACCGAGAUUCAACAUGGAACGAGUGGCGGACGGGUGAGUAACACGUGGGUAACCUGCCCUUAAGUGGGGGAUAACAUUUGGAAACAGAUGCUAAUACCGCAUAGAUCCAAGAACCGCAUGGUUCUUGGCUGAAAGAUGGCGUAAGCUAUCGCUUUUGGAUGGACCCGCGGCGUAUUAGCUAGUUGGUGAGGUAAUGGCUCACCAAGGCGAUGAUACGUAGCCGAACUGAGAGGUUGAUCGGCCACAUUGGGACUGAGACACGGCCCAAACUCCUACGGGAGGCAGCAGUAGGGAAUCUUCCACAAUGGACGCAAGUCUGAUGGAGCAACGCCGCGUGAGUGAAGAAGGCUUUCGGGUCGUAAAACUCUGUUGUUGGAGAAGAAUGGUCGGCAGAGUAACUGUUGUCGGCGUGACAGUAUCCAACCAAAAAGCCACGGCUAACUACGUGCCACCAGCCGCGGUAAUACGUAGGUGGCAAGCGUUAUCCGGAUUUAUUGGGCGUAAAGCGAGCGCAGGCGGUUUUUUAAGUCUGAUGUGAAAGCCCUCGGGCUUAACCGAGGAAGCGCAUCGGAAACUGGGAAACUUGAGUGCAGAAGACGACAGUCGGAACUCUCAUGUGUAGCGGUGAAAUGCGUAGAUAUAUGGAAGAACACCAGUGGCGAAGGCGGCUGUCUGGUCUGUAACUGACGCUGAGGCUCGAAAGCAUGGGUAGCGAACAGGAUUAGAUACCCUGGUAGUCCAUGCCGUAAACGAUGAAUGCUAGGUGUUGGAGGGUUUCCGCCCUUCAGUGCCGCAGCUAACGCAUUAAGCAUUCCGCCUGGGGAGUACGACCGCAAGGUUGAAACUCAAAGGAAUUGACGGGGGCCCGCACAAGCGGUGGAGCAUGUGGUUUAAUUCGAAGCAACGCGAAGAACCUUACCAGGUCUUGACAUCUUUUGAUCACCUGAGAGAUCAGGUUUCCCCUUCGGGGGCAAAAUGACAGGUGGUGCAUGGUUGUCGUCAGCUCGUGUCGUGAGAUGUUGGGUUAAGUCCCGCAACGAGCGCAACCCUUAUGACUAGUUGCCAGCAUUUAGUUGGGCACUCUAGUAAGACUGCCGGUGACAAACCGGAGGAAGGUGGGGAUGACGUCAAAUCAUCAUGCCCCUUAUGACCUGGGCUACACACGUGCUACAAUGGAUGGUACAACGAGUUGCGAGACCGCGAGGUCAAGCUAAUCUCUUAAAGCCAUUCUCAGUUCGGACUGUAGGCUGCAACUCGCCUACACGAAGUCGGAAUCGCUAGUAAUCGCGGAUCAGCACGCCGCGGUGAAUACGUUCCCGGGCCUUGUACACACCGCCCGUCACACCAUGAGAGUUUGUAACACCUCGUAAGCCGGUGGCGUAACCUCUAUUAGGGAGCGAGC
rnacentral:rRNA from 1 species